GCAAAAACAAAAAUAGAAAAUGAAGCCUAAAUGAAUGCAGAAAUAGAAUCGUCAUUUCCCAGUCAAAUCAAACAGUCUGGCCUCCAUUAUUUUCCAACUUUUCAUUUCAUAAACGCUAGGCUUUUCAGAUGAUAGCAAUUUCAAAGAAAUCUUAUGCUUUAGCUAUCUUUUUCCGUUUCAUUUCCUCUUCAUCAACUUCCUUCAAUCAGAAUUUUGUGGCCAUCUCCCUCUUAGAUCCGGUGUUCUUCUCUCGUCUCUCCCACCAGGUAUCUUUCUUCCCCUUUUCUUAAUGCCUCUUUCGUUAGGUAUGUGCUUCAACGUUCUCUGUUCUUUGGAUGAAUCGAAAAACAUUUUUUUUGGAAUCGGGUUUUGUUGCUCUGAAUAUCAUCAAUAAUUGCUCCUAGAAUCGAUUUAUCUCUAGCUUUUGUUUUGCAUUUGUUGAUUAUUGUUUUCGAAUCCCCCAUCAUCGUGACUGAGUUUAAGCCCAUGCUUAUGCCUAAUUUGGUUGCCUCUAAACAUGCUAAUGCUUCUGCUACAAAUGGAGAGGAAACGUUGGAGUGAAGAGUAGACUUUGAGACUGUGAUUUCCCCAUUCUGACCUCGGGCUACCAUUCCUGACGCUGAUCUAGAGUUGUUGAUAUCAAAAGCUGCAUCAAACUGUAUAGACUCCCGUAGCUCCACCUCUCUUUGUUCGGAUCUAACGGCCGUAGAGGUAAGUUUUCUUUCUCGCACUCCUUCAAGCUCUAUUAGAUAACUCUGUAUUUUAAAAGCUAGAUCCCUUCCUGAUGUAUACUUCCUCUUGUGGAUCAUUUGAUUUCUCGAGCUCCAGAUAACCCAUAAGGCACAAAAAAAUACUCAGAUCUACUCCUUUGUACCUCUGCUGAAUACCCAGGUGAGCCAUGCCCAUACACUCUGAUCUGCAUGUUCUGUUACCCAUGACAUAUUGAGACUGAUCUAUGCAUCCGUGCUUAUAGGACAUUGCCUAAACACAUGGAAGCUAUCUUCUUCUGCAGAACAGUAUCGUGGACACCUUACAUUAGUGGUCACUCUCUUAUAUCUGAUAUUAACUAGUGAAGGGAUGUAGUUCCAGGAAAUUCGCCAUAUGAGAAUUAGGAUUUUUGUUAGUAAUUGUAAAUUCCAUAAUUUUCUGUAGAAAUCUUUAGUUUCGACCUGUAUUAAAUAGUUAUAAUGAUCCAAGCUAGCUUCUUAUAAUAGUUUGUAGGCACUUCUAACUGUAAAUUCUCCGGAGAGUUCCCCUUUCCACACUUUCAUGUCUUCACAAUCCGUUUUCGCAAGAGGAAUUUGCAGUAUUUUUUGAGAAAUUUCCUUUUGAAAGGUAGUCGAAAUUAACUUUCUUCCACUUCUUGUUUAUGUUAUCAAUAAGAUCAGAAACCACAGCUAACUAACCAUUGUCUCUUUUAUUUUGCCACAUCUCAAGUUCCAUCCCUAGUAUCCAACGAUCAUCCCAUAUAGAUAUUGCGUCUCCUCUCUCGACUCUCCAGAUGAGACCAUCAAGAAGGAGUCCUUUCACUGCCCAAAUACUUCUCUAGGUAAGAGAUGGUAAGUUUCCCAACUGUGAAUUUAGGAAACUGGAUCUUGGGUAAUAUUUAGCUUUAAGUACUCUGGCUAAAAGUGAAUUUGGGUUAUUAAACAAUCGCCAACCCUGCUUGGCUAACAAUGCGAUAUUAAACUUAUUAAAAUUACGAAAACCCAACCCGUCGUUUUCCUUUAAAUAGCAAAGGUUUUUCCAAGAGCACCAAUAGAUUCCCUUUUUUCCUUGAUUCUUUUGCCACCAAUAUCUCGCAACAAUACUCUCCAUUUCUUCACAUAGUGACUUCGGAAGUAGAAAACAAACCAUUGAGUAUGUCGGUAUGGCUUGUAGCACUGCCUUUAUGAAUAUCUCUUUUCCACCUUGCGAUAAAAAACGAGUACUCCAAUUUUCUAUCUGUUGUUCCAAUCUGUCUUUUAAGGCUUGAAAAGAUUGCUUCUUUUUUCGACCUACCAUGUUUGGCAAGCCCAAGUAUCUUUCUGGCUCAUUUGAACUUCGAACUCCCAAUAAAUUGACGAUUAGAUGUCUUUCCUCUUCAAUUAUAUUUUUGCUAAAGAAGACGGUCGAUUUGGAAAAAUUCACACAUUGACCCGAACAUCUUUUAUACCCGCUAAGAAUUUCCUUGAGUACAAAGGCUCCUUUCCUCGAUGCUUCUCCAAAUAAAAUGCAAUCAUCCGUAAAUAGUAAAUGUGUUACCUGUGGACCACUUCUGGUUGCCUUGACUCCCUUUAGAAGACCUUCUCUAGCGUUUAUUCUCAUUAGACUAGAUAGUCCUUCUCCACAUAUUAAGAAGAGAAACGGGCUCAAAGGAUCGCCUUGUCGAAGCCCUCUUGUUGGACGGAAAGUUCUUCCAACACUUACAUUGAGCACUACUUGAUAAGAAACUGUAGACAUGAAAUUCAUGAUAGAGGUGACCCAUUUUUGAUCAAAUCCCAUCCGCAGCAUUGUUUCCUUAAUAAAUCUCCAUUCAACUCUGUCAUAAGCUUUGCUUAUGUCAAGCUUAACCGCCAUGUAUCCCUUUUUCCCCAUUCUUUUUUGUUUAAGUGUGUGCAAUAACUCAUAAGCGAGCAAAAUAUUAUCUGAGAUUAAUUUACCUGGUACGAAGGCACUUUGCGCACUGUCAAUGCAUUUGUCUAUGACACCUCUAAAUCUGUUUGCUAUUGCUUUAGUCAUGAUUUUAUAAAUAACAUUGCAUAAGCUAAUAGGCCUAAAAUGGGUCAUAUUAGAGGGGUUUUUGAUUUUUGGGAUAAGAACAAUAUAAGUUGAGUUAAUUUGACUGACCUCCAUUUCUCCAUUGAUGAGGUGUAGGCAAAAAGCAGCCACCUCAUCUCCUAUAAAGUGCUAACAUUUCUGGUAAAAAAGAGCAGGGAAUCCAUCUUUGCGAGGUGCCUUCGUGGGAUGCAUUUCAAAUAAGGCCUCUCUCACUUCUUCUUUUGUAUAAUUCGCUAUAAGUUUCCUGUUAUCGUCCUCUGAGAUACACCGAUCAAUUCCCGAGAGUAGACGUUCAUAAUUCAUUUGAUUUUCUAAAGAGAACAGAUUUUGAAAAUAGAAUUGUACAAUACCUUUCAUCUCCUGAAUAUCAUUCGUUUCCUGCCCGCUGCUGUUUUGUAGCUUGCUUAUCAAAUUCUUCUUUCUUCUUUGUGUUACUUGACUGUGAAAAAAGGCUGUAUUCCUGUUUCCAAGUUUUAGCCAAUUUAGUCUAGCUCGGUGUUCCCAAUAAGUUUAAUCUUUUUCAAUUUCGAAGUUAAGCUGGAUCUUUGUGUCAAUCAUCUCAGCUAGAUUAGAAUUAUCCCUUUCAGCUUCAAUCAAUGUUGAUAGUUUGGCUGUGAGAAAUUCUUUUCUCCCCUGUUUAUUUCUUUGCACCUGUUUCGCCCAGUUUACAAACCCUUUCUUAAAAGUUUCCAUUUUCUUCAGAAAUUCUCCAGACACCAUCCCCCAUAAAUGUUUAGCUUCAUCGAAAAAUGAGUCUUCCACGAUCCAUGAGGCUUCAAAUUUGAAUUGAUUUGCUUUUUCCCAUUGGUCUUCCUUAUUUGUGUUGACGAAAAUAGGACAAUAAUCAAAAAAAGAGUGUACAAGUGUUCAACUCAUACCGCAGGAAACAUGGAAAUCCAAUUCUUAUUAGCGACACCCCUAUCCAGACGCUCUUGAAUGUUCGUUUCUGGUAAGUUUCCUCUCUCCUAAGUGAACCAUCUACCAGAGUAUCCCACAUUGGAUAGUUGGCAAAAAUCUAAAGCUUCUCGGAACAACUCCAUUCUUCUUUCAUCUCUUGGCAAGCCUCUCUUUUUUUUUUCGAAUUCAUACAUUAUUUCAUUAAAAUCUCCACAGACAAGCCAAGGGGUGUAUUCCUUUUUAUGGAGAUUUUUCAAAACAGUCCAUAAAGCUUCUCUAUCUUGCGCAUAUGGAGUUCUAUAAAAGCCAGUAAAGCGCCAUUUGACAUCUCUUUCAUCAUCAUCCACCACCAUGUCAAUGUGUCUUUUAGAGAAAUUCUAAAGCGUAACAUUGAUAUUAUUUUGCCAUGCUAGACACAAACCUUCUCUAGAGCCCUUCGAAUCAACAUCAAUUCCAUUCCCAAAUCCACAUCUUCGUCUAAUUCUUUCCAUUCGGUUUCUGCAAAGCUUAGUAUCCAUAAAGAAGACAAUUUGGGGAUUAUAAGUCCUCAGCGUAUGCUGAAGCCUUCGAACUAUCCGUAGACUCCCCAAUCCACGGACAUUCUAACUCAGUAUUUUUAUUGCUUCCGGUCGGCUUGCCAUUUGGUAGCCGCCGAUGAUAAAUGAUUAGGAUCCACCAUUCUCCAAUUUGCCAAUAUGUUUCUCAUUUCUUCUCUCCCUGUUAUAUCUUCAUUUUCCCCUCUAGGCCUUUUCGUCCCCUUUUUCCCUACUAGAGCUACAUCUUCUAGAUCCCUGAUCCAUUACAUUAGGGGUUAAAUUCUCCUUUCCUCGUACCGCGUAUAAUGAACCUCCCUCCAAAUUAAAGCCAAGAACUGGAUCAACAGAUUUCCCAUAUUUUAUUUUUCACCCCGGGUGCUUCUGGCCCAUUUUGAGACCUCCAAAUUCUGCAUCAGUUCCUCUGUUAUCGCCAUCUCCUUCCUCCCUUAGCUAGAUAUUGUUUAUUGAUAAUGACUUCCGUGAUUGUGCUCGGAUAGAUAAGUCCUAGCCCAUUUCUGCAAUUUCCAUUCCAAGGUUCAUUUUUGCCUCGCAAAAAAAGUCAUUAUGCUCCAGUCUUCCACAAUAGAAACAGAACAAAGAUAAACGUUCAUAUUUAAAGGUGACAUAUGAACAUUUUCCACCAAAUGAUAUUUUCUUCCUCCUUUUCAAAGGACGCCUUAUGUCGAUUUGAACUCUAAUUCUCAUAAAGUUCUUGUUUUCUUUUCCCAAAUAUGAUACAUCAUGUUCUAUGAAAUUCCCCAAGAAAUUACCUAACUGGGCAGCCAGGAUUUCAGAAAAAAGGCCAAUAGGGACAUCAUGAACCUAAACCCAAAAAGGUAUCAGAACUAGAGGGAGUUGUAGUGGAUCCUCCCCUAAUUCCAAUUUGUAAAGCACCAGCAGAUGGUUAUUAAUGGUCCAAGGCGAACAUUUCAAAACCCUGUUCAUAUCCAUGACAUGAAAGAACUGAAACAAAUACCUUUUUUCUCCCAGAUCACAGAUUCGUACUCCCUUAACCGGAUGCUACAGAUUCGCCAUUGUACUUUUCAUUGCUGGGAAGUGGAUCGUGCUUGCUGUGAGAAAACAUCCUACUAGUUGAGUGGUCUCACCCCUAUUUUCCGUGCUUGGAUCUGUUGGGAUGUGAAUAAUUUCCUCAUCUUCAUCAUUAAUCGACAAUUGGGCUAACUCAUUCUCCAUACUUUGCAGGUAAAAGUUUUUUCAGCUUUUGUGGUUUCACAAUUCCUGUUGCAAGAGAAGGACUUACACAGGCCACAGAUAACAAAGGGGAAAGUAUUAAGGAAAAAACAAAUAAUGAAAAAACUUAAAAACUCUUGCUAGUGGCAGCAGACAAAGGUGUGCUAGGGUAGCAGACUUUUUUUACUUGUGAAUUUGAUAAUGUUUUAUAUUUCAUAUAAUGUUUUUAUAAUUUUUUUAACUUAUAUAACUAAUAUAUAAUAUGUUUUGAAAAUUUUAAAUUUAAUAAUUUUUAUAAUUUUUUAUUUAUUGAAUUUAUAUUUUUUAAAAUGGAUGCCACAUUAUUAAUCGUCAUGUAUAAAGGAAUACCACAUAAUGCAUUCUCAUUGGUUGGGUGUGUCACCUAUCAUUUUUAACACCAUUAACCUCUUUGAACUAAGAUUGUGUUUAGCAAUGCUUAAAAAAAACACUUUUGGCUUAAAAAGUACUUUUGGAAGAAAAUUUAUGUUAAACAAGUAACUUUUGGCCCAAAGGAGUGGCUUUUCAAAAACAUUUUUACUCAAAAGCUAAAUUUUUUAGCUUUUCUUGAGCCAAAAGCACUUCUUGAAACAUUAUUACUUUUUCAUCUCUCUAUUUUUCUUCCCUUAUUUUUCAUUCACUUUAAAUUACAAAUGCUAAUGUAAAUGUUUUAAUGUUUAUAUUUGGUAUAUAAAUAUUAUCCAUUUUUGAAACUUUAAUCUAAAUAUAUGUAAUAUUUUAAUUUGUUAGGUUUUUGUUUUCUAUGUUAUGUUAAUAUUUAAUAUGGGUUAUAUAUUCAAAUUACAUUUUAAAAUAAAAUCAUUAAUUAAAAAAAGUAUUUCUCGAAAUAAUACAAAUGUGUUAAUAUCUUUUUCUUUUUCUUUUUAUUGAAAGAUUAGGCUUUAUUGAUAAAAGAAAUAAAAAAAACAAUGGAAAAGAACUGGCCCAAUCUCAUCGAGCCCAAAACUAAAGAAGCAACAAAAAUCCAAAAACAAACAAAAAGAAACAAACUAGCCUAGCCAAAUAGGAAAAGACCAUCACAAUCCCCUUAAAUGUCGUUUCAAUAACUGAUGAUUUCCUAACCCCCAUUUUGCAGAUAUUUAGAAGUUACAAAAGAAGUUUUCAUCCUUUCUCCUUUCUCCAAGGUUGGAAAAAUUUGCUUCCGAUCCUCCUCAGUCCGACUCUCGCACCCAUUCAACUUCCAUUGUUCUCUUCGCAUAACUCGGGACAACAUCUUCCAAGUAAAAGCUCUCACCAGAUCUCAAACUCUCAUUUGCUAAAAGAUGGGCUAACUAAUUUUCAAAAUGAUUUGCAUGUUUAAGCCUAAUAAAAGUAAAACUGUUUAGCUUCUGUUUGAUGUUUCGGAUGUAGGUGUUUAUUUCAGAUCUAUCAUGUAUAUCGUUGUUGCAUUUCUUGAUGAUUGUAAAUGAGUCUCCCUUUAUAACUGCUUCUGUUAACCCUAUUUCUAAACUCGUUUGUAUUGCCCAUGAACACGCGAGCGCCUCGGUUGCAAAAAUUGUUCCAACAUCGACAUGUAGGAUCGAUCGAGAUACUAAAACUUUGCCUAGAGCAUUCUUAACUACAAUUCCCGAUCUUGAUCUAGAAUGAACCUAAUCAAAGGCCGUGUCAAAAUUUAUUUUAAUUCUCGCUCUUACAGGCGAUUCCCAUUUUCUUUCCUCACCUUUCCUCAUUGAUCUCCAAUUUUCUUAUGUAGGAAGAAAUAGAAUUGGCAAUCUCCCUACUUGUUUCACUGACUUUUUCGUGCACUUCUUGUUUCUCUCUGUCCACAGGCUUCAUAGUGCAACACAAAAUUCCUAGACAUUUUGGUAACCGAACAUUCUUUAACGACCCAGGUAAGCCAAUCAAAAAAUUCCUAGACAAAAUUUGACACCAUUACAUGAAACCCCAAUAACAUCCAGACUUCAAAUGUAACAGGGCAACCACGAAAGAUGUGGUCUAAAUUUUCAGUAGCAUUAUAACAUCUCGGGCAUAUCAUAUUUGACACGAUUCGUUUAUAGUGCAAAUUUCUAAAAGUAAGAAUAUAAUCUUUCAAGAUUCACCAUAUUGUAAUUUUAAUUUUAGUUGGAAGCUUUAAGCUCUAUAGUUUCCUAUAGAAAUCUCUAGCAUUGGUCUUAUCUCAUUUAAAUUAGGGGUAGAAAUACCAGUUUGUAAUAGUUUAUAGGCUCUUCGCACAGAAAAGUCCCCCGAAGGUUCACCUCUCCACAUCAUCACAUCUGCAUAAGGAGUACAAGCCAAAGGGAUUCUCAGUAUUCUACCUAUGUCAACACUCGAAAAGGUACCCAAAUUACAAUCCCUCAUCCAUUCUCUAAUUUCACUAUCACAUAAAUCAACAAGUAUAUAAUUAUCAUUUCUAACCUCAUUGCUUAAUUUAUAAUUAGCUGAACCGGGGAUCCAUGCAUGAUUAACAAUUGAAAUCCUAUCUCCCGUACCCACUCUCCAUCCAAUCCCAUUGCACAACACCUUCUUUGCUGACCAGAUACUUCUCCAAGUAUACAAUGCCUCAUGUCUUAAACUAGCAUUGUAAAAAUCAGAUUGAGGGUAAUACUUAGCUUUCAAAGCUCGUGGUACUAAAGAAUCGGGAUGAUUAAUAAGUCUCCACCCUUGUAUGGCUAAGAGAGCCACAUUAAAUUUCUCGAAACUUCUAAAUCCUAACCCCCUUCCUCUUUCAAAUUGCACAUUAUUCUCCAUCCGCACCAGUGAAUUCCCUUACGUCCAUGACCCUUCUUCCACGAAAAUCUUGCAACAAUACUUUCCAUUUCCCCACACAGAUUUCGACAAUAAGAAAUAUGCCAUACAGUAUGUCGGUAUGGCUUGUAAUACUGAAUUUAUAAAUACUUCAUUGCCCCAUUAGGAAAGAAAUCUCGUACUCUACCUGUCAAUUUUCCUUUUCAUCUGAUCCUUCAAGAUCUGAAAUGAAACUUUUUUAUUUCUUCCCACCACAUUAGGAAGGUCUAGGUAUCUUUUUGGAUUAUUUGAGUAUCAAACUCCCAAUUCCAUCACUAGUUGCAUCCUAACCAUUUCAGAAGUAUUUGCACUAUAAAAAAUCGUAGAUUUUUCAAAAUUCACACACUAACUUGAACAAACUUCAUACUCUUCCAAAACCUAUUUAAAUGCAUGUACACCCCUCUCUAAAGCCUCCCUAAAAAGAACACAAUCAUCUGUAAAUAGUAUAUGUGAAAUUUUAGGUCUAUUCCUACUCACCUUUGGUCCUUUUGUCAGGCCCUCUCCAACCACAAGUCUCAUGAGAGAAGAUAGUCUCUCACUGCAAAUAAGAAAUAGAAAAUGGACUUAAAGUUUCUCCUUGUCUUAAACCUCUAGAAGGUCGAAAAAACUCUCCCAUGAUCCCAUUAAUACUAAUAGAAUAGGAGAUCGUUGAGACACACUUUAUUACCAUAUCCACUUAGGCUUGUGCAAAACCCAUUUAUUCCAUCAUUGCCAUUAGAAAACCCCACUCAACUCGGUCAUAUACCUUGCUCAUGUUUAAUUUUAAAGCCAUAAAUCCCCUUCGUCUAAUUCGCUAAUUUCUAAAAGUAUGUAGUAUCUCAUAUGCAAGCAAUACAUUAUUUGAAAUCAAACGUCCUGACACAAAUACACUUUGAGCACUAUCAAUGCAAACAUUAAGAGUCUUUUGGAAUUGAUUGGCUACAAUUUUUGCAAUUAUCUUGUAUAAAACAUUACAUAAGCUGAUGAGUCUAAAAUUCGUCAUAUUAGUAGGAUGACGGAUUUUUGGUAUGAGAACAAUGUUUGUAACAUUCACAGGGUCAAGAUCCUUACCAUUAUUUAAAACAUCCAAACAAUAGAGGCUUACAUCUCGUCUCACAAUGUGCCAAUAUCAUUGAUAAAAUAAAGCUAGAAAGCCAUUCAAACUUGGUACCUUAGUUGGACCCAUAUCUUUCAAGGCCACAUAGACUUCUUCCUCCGUGUAUGUCCCUAUUAACAUCAAAUUUAAGUUAUCAGAAAUACACAUCCCCACCUCAGACAGAAUAUGAGUUAAUUCACCCAUUCCCUUUGUCGUAAAUAAAUCCUAAAAAAAACCCUUGCAGUUUUUGCCAUCUCCGCUUCCUCCCUAGUAACCCUUCCAUCUUCAUACUCCAAACGUUUAACCAUAUUCUUUUUCAUGCUAUUUGAGGUAUAAUUGUAGAAAAAAUUUAUGUUUCUAUCCCCUAACUUUAACUAAUUGACUCUCGCUCUUUGUUAUUAGAAAGCUUCAUCCUUAUCAAUCUCUCAGUUUAAAUGAACUAGUGUCAAUAAGGUCUACCAAAUUCUCAUCAUCCUGAUCUGAGGCUAACAGUUGCUUCAAUUUCCUAGUCAAAGAUUUUUUCAAACAAUGUUUUUUUUCCUUUAUCUCUCUUUCCCAACUUCCCAGUUCUACUUGAAUACUUUCAAUUUUAGUAAAUAUAUCUCAUUUGAUCGAUUCCUAAACUCAUUUUAUUUCUAUUUCGAAAGACUCUUUCAUUGUCCACCAUGCUUCAAAACGGAAUUUUUUAUUACCCUUAACAUUUCCACCUAUAUUAGUAUGAACUAAAAAUGGGCAAUGAUCAGAAAAAGAAUGGGGUAAGUGUUGAAUACUGGAAUUUGGAAAUCUAUCCAACCACCUAACAUUUGCCACACCUCUAUCCAAUCAUUCCUGAAUAUUUGUUUAUGGUAGAUUUCCUCUCUCCCAUGUAAACCAUAUCCCAGAAUAUCCUAUAUCCAGAAAGCGACAGUCCUCCAAAACUUCCCAAAAUGUCUCAAUUCUCUAUUCAUCCCUUAGAAUACCUCUCACUUUCUUAAAAGAAUACAUAAUUUCAUUAAAGUCCCCGCACACUAACCAUGGAAGAUUUUGGAAAUUCCCCAAAUUCUUAAAGACAUUCAACGGCUCGCUCAUAUUUCGAGCAAACAAAGAUCUAUAAAAACCUGUAAAUCUCCAAUCCCCUUUUUCCACAUCCCCUUUUAUCUCUACAUCUACAUGGUUCAUAGAGAAACUGCGUAAAGUGACAAUUAAAUCCUCUUUCCAUGCCAAACAUAGGCCUCCAUGAGAACCAUCAGCCCCCACCUCAAUCGCAUUAACAAAACCACAUCACGUCCUUACUGCUUCCAUUCUUCUACCAUCUAGUUUAGUCUCCAUAAAAAAGAUCAGUUGGGGAUUAGACAUAUUCAGUGCAUGUCGAAGUCUUUUGACAGCCCGUAUCUCCUCAACCCACGGACGUUCUGUAAUGACCCAAAAUUCACGGGCAUCAGAAAAGUGCAAUAUUGGGCCUCCAUCUUAGUGAAAUGGGUUCGUAAAUAAUUAUUAGAAAUAUUUAUGAGACUAGUGGUGUGCCUAAUUAGGUUCUAAUUAGGUGAAUUUAUCUUAAUUAAGAGUAAUUAGGAAAAAAUGACUAAAGUGAAUAAAAGGUAAAAGUUGAAUUGUAGAUUAAAAGAAAAUAAAAAGGACCAAAAUGGUAAAUAAGCUAUUUAGCAUAAGUUGAGGCGGCAAACAAAGAUUUUUGUUUUGUUUAAUUAAUCUAAAAAAAUAAAUUAGUUAUAAAUUUAAUUAUGUUAAAUUAUAAUAAUUAUAUUAUAAUUAAUAAAAUAAGGACAAGUGUAUGGCGAUGAUAAAACACAUGUGUAAUAAAUAUAUGUAAACAUUUGUAGUAUAAUUAUUUAUUUACUUAUAUUUUAAACUAAAGAUAUUUAUUAUUAAAUUAAUCUAUUAUAAAUAUCAUAUUAUGAAUUGAAUUAAAUUAAAGCCAAGUGUACAGUGAUAAAAAUAUACAAAUGUAAUAAUAGUAUUCAUACAUUUGUAAUAUAUUUAUUUAAUUACUUUAUAAGUAAAUAGAUAUUUAUUAUAUUAUAUUAUUAUCAUUAUUAUUUUUAAAUAAUAUAUAUAAUGAAGUAAAAAAAGAAAAGAAAAGAAAAGAAAGAAAUAAAACAAAGAAGAAAAGAAACAGAGAGCAAUUCGAAAUAGGGGAAAAGAAAGAAGAAAAGAAAAAGAAAAGGAAAAACUAGGGUUUUGAAGCUUAAAGCUUUAAUUGGUAAGUCAAUUAAGUCAUUUUUACUUAAUUUUGAUGUUUCAGAAGCUUUGGAACAAAGUUUUGUUGAAAUCAAGUUGAAAUUUUGGAAAUUCUUAGGUUUUUGAAUAUAGUUCAUGUUGAACAAAUUGAUGAAUUAGGGGUUUAAUUGAUAGAAAUUUUAGUUAGAAUUGAUUAAAGGAUUAAAUUGUAAAGCUAUAAGUUUUGCAUAGUAGGGACUAAAUUGCAAGAAUUUCGAAAUUAGGUAUUUAUGAUGAAAUUUAGAUAGUUAUGUCUAAGUUUGGUUGAAAACUGAGUAGAAAUAAAGUAUGAAUUAAGAUAGGAAAGUAAGUGAAUUUACUUAGGACCAAAUUGAAUUUACGGUAGAAAUUGAAUAGAAAUGGAAUAGGAAAAUUUAAAUAUUAGACAUAAAUUAAUAUUGUAUUAAUGAUUAUGAAAAUUAUCCUAAUUUUUCGUAGCUAAUAUCGCACCCGAGGUAUCCACGAAGAAAGGAAAAAAAAAGUGGACGAGGAGUAGACACGAGAAUCACG
rnacentral:lncRNA from 1 species